CGCCUCGUCCUCUAAGCGGUUCAGGAGACCCGCCUCUCAAGCGGGCAAUGCGGGUGCGAGUCCCGUCGAGGCGACCA
rnacentral:tRNA from 1 species